rnacentral:tRNA from 1 species
AAUUAAUGAGCUUGUUAAAGCAUUUGUUUUGAAAACUUAUGAAAGAAUAAAUAUUCUAUUAAUUU